UCCCCGAAAGGGCAAACCUGCUGAAAGGCAGGGGCGCAAAACUAGAGGGUCUACAGCCUUCACGGGCCAUGACAGCCAGUUACCACG
rfam:Moorella thermoacetica ATCC 39073, complete genome.